rnacentral:rRNA from 1 species
GACGAACGCUGGCGGCGUGCUUAACACAUGCAAGUCGAACGGAAAGGCCCUGCUUUUGUGGGGUGCUCGAGUGGCGAACGGGUGAGUAACACGUGAGUAACCUGCCCUUGACUUUGGGAUAACUUCAGGAAACUGGGGCUAAUACCGGAUAGGAGCUCCUGCUGCAUGGUGGGGGUUGGAAAGUUUCGGCGGUUGGGGAUGGACUCGCGGCUUAUCAGCUUGUUGGUGGGGUAGUGGUUUACCAAGGCUUUGACGGGUAGCCGGCCUGAGAGGGUGACCGGCCACAUUGGGACUGAGAUACGGCCCAGACUCCUACGGGAGGCAGCAGUGGGGAAUAUUGCACAAUGGGCGGAAGCCUGAUGCAGCAACGCCGCGUGCGGGAUGACGGGCUUCGGGUUGUAAACCGCUUUCGCCUGUGACGAAGCGUGAGUGACGGUAAUGGGUAAAGAAGCACCGGCUAACUACGUG